GUUUAAUGAAACAGUCAGUGAAAAAGAAUGACUCUUGGAAGAGUGGAUAAAACAACGGCAAGAAUGGCAGGUCCUAUUGAUAGAUGGUUUCUAUCAAUAAACAGAUCUGUUUCAAGUGAGCUACAUGGCAGGAACAAAAGGCAGGAGAGGCCUUGGAGGAGACACAGGAUGAACGUGGAGCGCAGCUGGAUCAGAUCAAUCACGCUUCAUGGCCAAGAAUUAUGGAAAACCUCCAGAGAGGUUCAUUGUUGCAGAAAUCAUCGUGUAGACUUCAGAUACAGCCCGCAGUGUCCGUCACUUGGUGCUUGUCUUGAGGAAAUGCUGCAGAGGAGCCUGUUUGGAUAUCAGCUGGAGAAUUAACCUGGUCAAGUUGGCUCUGCUGAGAUCUGGAAGAAACAGCAUCAUGGAAGCCAGUGGGUUUCAUGUGUACUACACUGCUGGGCAAAG
ensembl:lncRNA